UGGCCCUACGGGACGCAGCAGUGAGGAAUAUUGGUCAAUGGGCGCAAGCCUGAACCAGCCAAGUCGCGUGAGGGAUGACGGUCCUAUGGAUUGUAAACCUCUUUUGUCGGGGAGCAAGGCCCGCCACGUGUGGCGGGCAGGAGAGUACCCGAAGAAAAAGCAUCGGCCAACUCCGUGCCAGCAGCCGCGGUAAUACGGAGGAUGCGAGCGUUAUCCGGGUUUAUUGGGGUUAAAGGGUGCGUAGGUGGAAGGGUAAGGCAGCGGUCAAAUGUCGGUGCUCAACACCGG
rnacentral:rRNA from 1 species